UAUAAGUAUAUUCUUGUCAAUUUAUCAAAUAUAAGAACUUGAUGAAAGUAAAAAAAUAAGUGAGAUUCUCUCAAAGAAAUAAAAAUAAAAAAGUAUGUAUAUUAAAAAAAAAAAUGGCUAUUGCCAAAAGAUAAGGAAAUUAGAGACUCUUGAAAUUAGACUAGAAAAAAAAAAUGAAUUGUUUAGAAUGAAGAAGGCUU
rnacentral:lncRNA from 1 species